GACAGCAUACACACUCAUGUUGAUGUGAUGAUGUCCUACUAGGCCACCACCAUCUUCGCCUUUUUCUCCAACCUGAUGAGAUCCAAAUCCAACGCACCUCCAUUAUUUACCCUUUUGCACAAACCAUGCCGUUCACUCCUGUGCUCCCCGCUCUAUAAAAAUCACACCAAAUAUGUCUCUUUGUUCUGUCUGUACAUCUCUCGAUGCAUAUCUUCUUCAGGCGUUCUCGUGCUUUGGAGCGACCAUCUUAACCGCCUCGCCGACCGACAGGAAUAUCUUGUCGUCGCCGAUGAGCUCUGUGAAUCUCGCCGCCCGCAGCUUCUGGAUCACUAUUGGCCCGGGAUUGGCGAGGAUCAGCUGUAAGUGGCACACCCAGAUUGUUCUCUUAGUCAAGUGCUUCGUCCAUCAACAUUGAUUCUUGCGGUAGCAGCUAGUAUAGGCAGAAUUGGAGUUCUAGUCUUUGUUAUUUACCUGAAUUUUGCGCUUUUCAAGUGAUUUAAGCAAUUCCUCCAAUGCAUGGAUUCCGCUCGUGUCGAUGUCAGUUACCGCUGUUGAAGAGUUGGCUUUUGCUCCUCCUGUUGUUCUUCCUCAUCCCUCAGCCAUCUCAGGAUCCUGAAAAUCGUAUAUCAGGUAGCCAAGUAUGACUUACAAUAGCGACGCCUUGCUUGUCUGCACGAGUGAGGUACACACACAAGGUGGAUAAGAUGACCGAUAUAAGCGGCGCGAUUGCAGAAACCCAGAAGAGCUUUUUAUUCUUCUUAGCCUGAAUUAUCCCAGUUAGUUGGUAUGAUCAUCACAAAUAGUCAAAGAGAAAUAAUAGUUAAUUAUAAACAUGUAGUAUUUUAUCUUACAAUGUACUUGGCUGCUAGAAGGAAUGCCAAGAACGAUGCUGCGAUCAAUAUUGUCUGCCAGUUCCACUAAAUCAACAAAGCAAGAGUAAUCUGAAAUAUUGGUUUUCAUCGGUGAAGUGGGAAAAAAAAUAAGACCGCAAUGCCAAGGAAUCCCUUGAGCUGUUGAAGAGCAAUGGUGACGGCUGCACCCGCCAUGAAACCAACGAUGGCGGCAUGAGACAAGAACUCUAUGAUGAACCCUAGCCUGCAGCAAAGUCCGCUCAUGAACUACCAUUCUAAUGCAUAACCGAGUUGGUUAACAGGAUCUGAGGUAAUACCUAAAGAAUCCGAGCGCGAACUGAGUGAGGCCCGCGAAGAAUGUGGCGGUGAAGGCCAGGCUGGUGUACUCUUCCCGAUCCUUGACCGGGUCUAACUCCUGUUGGAGAAGAGUGCCGAGCAGCAGCGACACGACCGCCACAGGACCGAUGGCUAUGUCCCUGGAACUACCCAUCAGGGCAUAUAUCAAAGGCGGGACGAAGCUACUGUCUGCACAUUUAAAGUUUCUUAUCAUCAGUAGCCACUGGAGCAAAAUUCUCAUCACAACAAGAAGGAAUGGAUACGCGUGUGUGCGUGUAUGUGCACUUACACAGUCCAUACUGUGGUAACAGGCCAGCAAGCUUGGCAUAACCGAUAUCCUGAGGUAUGCAGAGGCUGGCGAUGGUCAUCCCGGCGAUGAGGUCGCCCUUGAACUUGCCCAAGGUGUAGUUCCUGCCCCAGUCCAGCAUCGGGAAGACAUGCUGCAGGCCGAGCCACAGCUUCUUGGACUUGGGCUGGUCCUUGAACGGCCUCAGCGGGUCGUCGGAGAAGAAGGUCUCCUUCAACCCGUCGGAGAACUCCGCGAAAGCGCCCUUCUUGGGCGGAAAACCAACCUUGUAGCUGUUGUGGGUAUUCUCCGUGCGGCGGCGUGACAUCGUCCGGCUGGAGAUGUCAUCGCCGGGCAAUUCUUCACCGCCAUCAGACACGGUACGCGGCAUUGUGGACGAUGUUGCACACGCCUAGGUGCAGAAGGGCACUUGUAUCUGCAAACGAUGCAGUGAGCACAUUGGUCAAACUCUAUUCAGAAGGCCAAAGCUGCACGGACUUGCAUGACCAGCUGCAUGCAUGGCCCAAAACCCAGGUGAUCUGAGCUCUGAACUGAAUGAAAUGAUGUUUUACUUCAGAGCUAAAUAAAUCUGAAGCCUAUGCAAGAACAAGAACAAGAAUACAAGCACACAACAGAAUUCAACGAUCAUCGGUCAGUGGCUGUCUAGUGUUUGACCAUGGGAUCAUUCCUAACUGACAAGCCUGGAGAAUGGAGAACGGAAGAAAACCUACACGAGGAUGCUCUUGGCCCAGGAAGACAGAGGCCUUGCUUGCUUCUUCCUUGGAUUGUUCAGAACCUAGCUAGAGAAUGUCCAUUAUAUAUAGCACUCCGGCUACGAUGAAUGUCAACCCCUCAGUUUUAAAAGGGCCAAGAGGGAUAGCUAGGCUAAGCUGCAAAGUACGAAUCUGCGUCGAAAAUCGAACCACGUUCAACAGAGCACAGGAAAUGCCUACCUAAACGAAUAAGAUAUC